rnacentral:rRNA from 1 species
AGUGAACGCUGGCGGUAGGCCUAACACAUGCAAGUCGAACGGCAGCACAGUAAGAGCUUGCUCUUACGGGUGGCGAGUGGCGGACGGGUGAGGAAUACAUCGGAAUCUACUUUUUCGUGGGGGAUAACGUAGGGAAACUUACGCUAAUACCGCAUACGACCUACGGGUGAAAGCAGGGGAUCUUCGGACCUUGCUCGAUUGAAUGAGCCGAUGUCGGAUUAGCUAGUUGGCGGGGUAAAGGCCCACCAAGGCGACGAUCCGUAGCUGGUCUGAGAGGAUGAUCAGCCACACUGGAACUGAGACACGGUCCAGACUCCUACGGGAGGCAGCAGUGGGGAAUAUUGGACAAUGAGCGCAAGCCUGAUCCAGCCAUACCGCGUGGGUGAAGAAGGCCUUCGGGUUGUAAAGCCCUUUUGUUGGGAAAGAAAAGCAGCAGGUUAAUACCCCGCUGUUCUGACGGUACCCAAAGAAUAAGCACCGGCUAACUUCGUG